AAUUGUAACGGACGUGACGUCGCCAGUCACAUCCUGCCAAGCCAAGCCAAAGCCAAUGCCAUAGCCAAUGCCAAAGCCAAGCCAUGCCAUGUUGACCAACCCUCCAGCCAACCGCCAUGCCUGCCAACCGCAAAUGCCAGCCACUUGGAGGGGAUGAGUCUAUAUAAGCCAAAGCCAGCCAUAUUAAAACUUACUUUUUGGAAGACGUAAAAUAAAGAACAAGUGUGCUGUCACUCUGCCAUUUUAUUUUCGCUGUCAGUUAUAAUAAAUUAAAAUACAAAUAUCAAUAAAAGAAUAGGUCAAUUAUACUCAGAAGUGGGAUAAAACGACCUCGCCACAAGUUUUUCGACCUUCUGACGAAUCAAUGUCGGAGGAAGAUGAGGAUACUCCUUCACCGCCGGCACUGAAGCUGCUCAAGAAUCUGCUAAUAAAAAGAAGUAAUAAAGGCUCCACGCGAUCUUCAAUAUGACUGUGUUGAUGAAGCUCCAAAUAAGUCACAAGUACAUCGUGCUGCAUUUUUGACUCCGGAAUUCGACCUUGACAUUGAGGAAUUUACGAUAAACUACGAGGUCAAGCGAAGAAGAGGUACAAGCGCCUGUAGGACUACGAUUAUACGUGGGAGCAAUGGAAAAAGCAUCUCUAGCAUCAAGAUGGCCGACGUUAAUCUUUUCAUCUGACCGAUGUCCUAUCCAUAGCGAAGAGAUAGAUAGAUAACCUAUCAACAGCGAAGUCAACAAAGACAAACUUCCAUCUGGCUCUUCUUUCCAUCAAGUGCGCGUUCUGGAGAAUAAGGUCGGCAACGAUGUGGUAACGCCACCUCGACACUACGAGUUUGGUGGUCUACUCUUAUCCCUCUACCCUGCUCCGUGGCGAAGAUGGUUACAUCAAAGUCGUCAACACCGGGUGCGAGGUUAUCGUGUGGUCGCCGGAAGAGGUCCUAACAUGGGCUGAAAGCUGCCAGGAAUCUCCGUUACAGCCGUAUAGUCACUAGUCAGGAUGGCCGAGUGUAACGGACGUGACGUCGCCAGUCACAUCCUGCCAAGCCAAGCCAAAGCCAAUGCCAUAGCCAAUGCCAAAGCCAAGCCAUGCCAUGUUGACCAACCCUCCAGCCAACCGCCAUGCCUGCCAACCGCAAAUGCCAGCCACUUGGAGGGGAUGAGUCUAUAUAAGCCAAAGCCAGCCAUAUUAAAACUUACUUUUUGGAAGACGUAAAAUAAAGAACAAGUGUGCUGUCA